AUUGAACGCUGGCGGCAUGCUUUACACAUGCAAGUCGAGCGGCAGCGCGGGGGCAACCCUGGCGGCGAGCGGCGAACGGGUGAGUAAUGCAUCGGAACGUACCCUGGAGUGGGGGAUAACGCCGCGAAAGCGGCGCUAAUACCGCAUAUGCUCUGAGGAGGAAAGUGGGGGACCGCAAGGCCUCACGCUCUGGGAGCGGCCGAUGUCCGAUUAGCUAGUUGGUGGGGUAAAGGCUUACCAAGGCGACGAUCGGUAGCUGGUCUGAGAGGAUGAUCAGCCACACUGGGACUGAGACACGGCCCAGACUCCUACGGGAGGCAGCAGUGGGGAAUUUUGGACAAUGGGGGCAACCCUGAUCCAGCCAUGCCGCGUGAGUGAAGAAGGCCUCGG
rnacentral:rRNA from 1 species